CAGUCGCCGCGGGAAUACGGAGGGUGCAAGCGUUAUCCGGAUUUAUUGGGUUUAAAGGGUCCGUAGGCGGACUUAUAAGUCAGUGGUGAAAGCCUGUCGCUUAACGAUAGAACUGCCAUUGAUACUGUAAGUCUUGAGUAUAUUUGAGGUAGCUGGAAUAAGUAGUGUAGCGGUGAAAUGCAUAGAUAUUACUUAGAACACCAAUUGCGAAGGCAGGUUACCAAGAUAUAACUGACGCUGAGGGACGAAAGCGUGGGUAGCGAACAGGAUUAGAUACCCCGGUAGUCCCUGUCUCUUAUAC
rnacentral:rRNA from 1 species